rnacentral:rRNA from 1 species
GAUGAACGCUGGCGGCGUGCCUAAUACAUGCAAGUCGAGCGAACAGACGAGGAGCUUGCUCCUCUGACGUUAGCGGCGGACGGGUCAGUAACACGUGGAUAACCUACCUAUAAGACUGGGAUAACUUCGGGAAACCGGAGCUAAUACCGGAUAAUAUAUUGAACCGCAUGGUUCAAUAGUGAAAGACGGCUUUGCUGUCACUUAUAGAUGGAUCCGCGCCGCAUUAGCUAGUUGGUAAGGUAACGGCUUACCAAGGCAACGAUGCGUAGCCGACCUGAGAGGGUGAUCGGCCACACUGGAACUGAGACACGGUCCAGACUCCUACGGGAGGCAGCAGUAGGGAAUCUUCCGCAAUGGGCGAAAGCCUGACGGAGCAACGCCGCGUGAGUGAUGAAGGUCUUCGGAUCGUAAAACUCUGUUAUUAGGGAAGAACAAAUGUGUAAGUAACUAUGCACGUCUUGACGGUACCUAAUCAGAAAGCCACGGCUAACUACGUG